UAGGAAGUGGUGUAGGGGAAGCACAAAGAGUUUUGAUCUCUUUGGUGGGGGUUCAAAUCCCUUCUUUCUAG
rnacentral:tRNA from 1 species